rnacentral:rRNA from 2 species
ACCUGACUGCUAUCGGAUUGAUACUAAGCCAUGCGAGUCAUUGUAGCAAUACAAGGCAGACGGCUCAGUAACGCGUAGUCAACCUAACCUAUGGACGGGAAUAACCUCGGGAAACUGAGAAUAAUGCCCGAUAGAACACUAUACCUGGAAUGGUUUGUGUUCCAAAUGAUUUAUCGCCGUAGGAUGGGACUGCGGCCUAUCAGUUUGUUGGUGAGGUAAUGGCCCACCAAGACUAUUACAGGUACGGGCUCUGAGAGGAGUAGCCCGGAGAUGGGUACUGAGACACGGACCCAGGCCCUAUGGGGCGCAGCAGGCGAGAAAACUUUGCAAUGUGCGAAAGCACGACAAGGUUAAUCCGAGUGGUUUGUGCUAAACAGACCUUUUGUUAGUCCUAGAAACACUAACGAAUAAGGGGUGGGCAAGUUCUGGUGUCAGCCGCCGCGGUAAAACCAGCACCUCAAGUGGUCAGGAUGAUUAUUGGGCCUAAAGCAUCCGUAGCCGGCUCUGUAAGUUUUCGGUUAAAUCUGUAUGCUCAACAUACAGGCUGCCGGGAAUACUGCAGAGCUAGGGAGUGGGAGAGGUAGACGGUACUCGGUAGGAAGGGGUAAAAUCCUUUGAUCUAUUGAUGACCACCUGUGGCGAAGGCGGUCUACCAGAACACGUCCGACGGUGAGGGAUGAAAGCUGGGGGAGCAAACCGGAUUAGAUACCCGGGUAGUCCCAGCUGUAAACUAUGCAAACUCAGUGAUGCAUUGGCUUGUGGCCAAUGCAGUGCUGCAGGGAAGCCGUUAAGUUUGCCGCCUGGGAAGUACGUACGCAAGUAUGAAACUUAAAGGAAUUGGCGGGGGAGCACCACAAGGGGUGAAGCCUGCGGUUC